GACGAACCUUGCGAACGUUGUUCGGAAUCACUGGGCUUAAAGGGCGCGUAGGCGAGCCAGCAAGUCCGGGGUGAAAGCCCACGGCUUAACCGUGGAAGAGCCUUGGAUACUGCUAGUCUGGAGGAAGGUAGGGGCAUGUGGAACUUCCGGUGGAGCGGUGAAAUGCGUAGAUAUCGGAAGGAACGCAGGUGGCGAAAGCGACGUGCUGGACCUUUACUGACGCUGAGGCGCGAAAGCUAGGGGAGCAAACGGG
rnacentral:rRNA from 1 species